AAUGUGCAUGCAGCAGGAGUGGCGAUAAAAAAUUGAUCAGUCUCAUUUACAAAUGCAGGUUACUAAGUUGGAAGUCCUGCCACCCAACAGGCUGCAAGGUUACUAAGUUGGAAGUCCUGCUCGAAGAAACAAUCUUUUCGGCAAUCAGAAGACAUUAGGUCAAGGACGAUCUUGAUGGACAUGCUGAAGAAACAUGCCUGCCUCUCCACCAGGAGAACCUAUUGAUAUCUUCAGUUCGAAUGCAGGGAGGCGAUUAGCAACACACCCACCAAGGCCGAAGUGGUGCUGACAUUCCCCUCAUCUGCAUGUCAUAUACAUAGUUCCGUUGGAGAAGUCUCAGUGCAG